rnacentral:pre_miRNA from 1 species
AAUGGGAUGGCUGGAUCAAAUGGUGGUUACCUUCCAAGUUUUCUGAGGAAUCUCCAUACUGCUUUCCAAAGUGAUUACACCAAUUUUCAGUCCCAUCAGCAAU